UACGUAGGUGGCAAGCGUUGUCCGGAUUUACUGGGUGUAAAGGGCGUGUAGCCGGGCUGACAAGUCAGAUGUGAGAUCCGGGGGCUCAACCCCCGAACUGCAUUUGAAACUGUUGGUCUUGAGUAUCGGAGAGGCAGGCGGAAUUCCUAGUGUAGCGGUGAAAUGCGUAGAUAUUAGGAGGAACACCAGUGGCGAAGGCGACUUUCUGGACAGUAACUGACGUUGAGGCACGAAAGUGUGGGGAGCAAACAGG
rnacentral:rRNA from 1 species